GAUGAAGAACGUAGUGAAAUGCGAUACUUGGUGUGAAUUGCAGAAUCCCGUGAACCAUCGAGUCUUUGAACGCAAGUUGCGCCCGAGGCCUCCUGGUCGAGGGCACGUCUGCCUGGGUGUCACGCAUCGUCGCCCCCGCUCCCCUCGGCUCACGAGGGCGGGGGCGGAUACUGGUCUCCCGCGCGCUCCCGCUCGCGGCUGGCCCAAAAUCGAGUCCCCGGCGACGGUCGCCACGACGAGCGGUGGUUGAGAGACCCUCGGACACUGUCGUGCGCGCGCCCGUCGCCCCCGGGAUCUCCUGGACCCUCGGGCAUCGACCUUUCUAGGAUGCUCUCGUUGCGACCCCAGGUCAGGCGGGACUACCCGCUGAGUUUAAGCAUAUCAAUAAGCGGAGGA
rnacentral:misc_RNA from 1 species